rnacentral:rRNA from 1 species
AUGAACGCUGGCGGCGUGCCUAAUCCAUGCAAGUCGAGCGAACAGACGAGGAGCUUGCUCCUCUGAUGUUAGCGGCGGACGGGUGAGUAACACGUGGAUAACCUACCUAUAAGACUGGGAUAACUUCGGGAAACCGGAGCUAAUACCGGAUAACAUGUUGAACCGCAUGGUUCAACAGUGAAAGACGGUCUUGCUGUCACUUAUAGAUGGAUCCGCGCCGCAUUAGCUAGUUGGUAAGGUAACGGCUUACCAAGGCAACGAUGCGUAGCCGACCUGAGAGGGGGAUCGGCCACACUGGAACGGAGACACGGUCCAGACUCCUACGGGAGGCGGCAGUAGGGAAUCUUCCGCAAUGGGCGAAAGCCUGACGGAGCAACGCCGCGUGAUUGAAGAAGGUCUUCGGAUCGUAAAACUCUGUUAUUAGGGAAGAACAAAUGUGUAAGUAACUAUGCACGUCUUGACGGUACCUAAUCAGAAAGCCACGGCUAACUACGUG